rnacentral:rRNA from 1 species
GACGAACGCUGGCGGCGUGCUUAACACAUGCAAGUCGAACGGAAAGGCCUGCAGCUUGCUGCGGGUACUCGAGUGGCGAACGGGUGAGUAACACGUGGGUGAUCUGCCUUGCACUUCGGGAUAAGCUUGGGAAACUGGGUCUAAUACCGGAUAGGACAGCUGUUUAGUGUCAGUUGUGGAAAGUUUUUUCGGUGCAAGAUGAGCUCGCGGCCUAUCAGCUUGUUGGUGGGGUAAUGGCCUACCAAGGCGUCGACGGGUAGCCGGCCUGAGAGGGUGUACGGCCACAUUGGGACUGAGAUGCGGCCCAGACUCCUACGGGAGGCAGCAGUGGGGAAUAUUGCACAAUGGGCGGAAGCCUGAUGCAGCGACGCCGCGUGGGGGAUGAAGGCCUUCGGGUUGUAAACUCCUUUCGACAGGGACGAAGCGUAAGUGACGGUACCUGUAUAAGAAGCACCGGCUAACUACGUGCCAGCAGCCGCGGUAAUACGUAGGGUGCGAGCGUUGUCCGGAAUUACUGGGCGUAAAGAGCUCGUAGGUGGUUUGUCGCGUCGUCUGUGAAAUUCCGGGGCUUAACUCCGGGCGUGCAGGCGAUACGGGCUGACUUGAGUGCUGUAGGGGAGACUGGAAUUCCUGGUGUAGCGGUGAAAUGCGCAGAUAUCAGGAGGAACACCGAUGGCGAAGGCAGGUCUCUGGGCAGUAACUGACGCUGAGGAGCGAAAGCAUGGGUAGCGAACAGG